GAGCUCACUUCGGCAGCACACAUACUAACGUUGGAGUGAUACAGAGAAGAUUAGGAUGGCCCCUGUGCAAAGAUGACACGCAAAUUCAUGAAGUGUUCCAUAUUUUA
rfam:Myotis davidii contig23264, whole genome shotgun sequence.